UUAUAUCAAAUAAAUGGAAUUUCUUUGAAUUUUGUUGCUUUUAUUUAUUCUGUACAGUGUGCUUUACAUGAAUUGGCCGUAAGGUGUCCUGAUUAUAUGGGAAGGAAAAAAUGUAGUUUUAAUAUUAUGAAUAUUUUUACACACACUCACACACACACACACACACACACACACACACACACACACACACACACACACACACACACACACACACACACACACACACACACACACACUUCAGUACUGCCUAGUUAACGGUCUAAGACACUACAUGAUUUUAGGACAUCUGUAAAUUGUUUAUUUUAUUGCUUGAAUGAUGACCCAUAUAUUUCACUGGAGUGAAAGACAGACAUUAAGUUUC